rnacentral:rRNA from 1 species
CCUACGGGUGGCAGCAGUCGGGAAUCUUGGACAAUGGGGGAAACCCUGAUCCAGCCAUGCCGCGUGAGUGAUGAAGGCCUUAGGGUUGUAAAACUCUUUCGCCAGGGAAGAUAAUGACUGUACCUGGUAAAGAAGCCCCGGCUAACUCCGUGCCAGCAGCCGCGGUAAUACGGAGGGGGCUAGCGUUGUUCGGAAUUACUGGGCGUAAAGCGCACGUAGGCGGACCGAUCAGUCAGAGGUGAAAUCCCAGGGCUCAACCCUGGAACUGCCUUUGAUACUGUCGGUCUGGAGUUCGAGAGAGGUGAGUGGAAUUCCGAGUGUAGAGGUGAAAUUCGUAGAUAUUCGGAGGAACACCAGUGGCGAAGGCGGCUCACUGGCUCGAUACUGACGCUGAGGUGCGAAAGCGUGGGGAGCAAACAGGAUUAGAUACCCUUGUAGUC